rnacentral:sRNA from 1 species
AUGGGAAACAGGGUGAAGUAGAGAAGCAGGACCCGGCGGCGGCAAGCACUCUUCCCUUUCCUGCUGCCUUUGUUCUGCGGGGCACCCUCGGAGAAGAUCUGCUACUCUAUUCCAGAAGAAACGGUCCAGGGCUCCAUGGUGGGGAACCUUGCUGAGGACAUGGGGCUGCAUGUUCAGGAUUUAUUGACCUGAAACCUUAGAGUUAGUGCAGAGAAACAAUACUUUACCAUGAACAUGGAGAAUGGGAACAUACUUGUGAGUGACAAAAUAGAUUGAGAGUCACUGUCCUCAAAAUCCUCCGUGUCAUACCCUUAGAGAUUGUAGCAGAGAAUCCUCUAAAUGUUUUUCACAUAAAUGUGAUGAUAGAAGAUAUAAAUGAUAAUCCACCUCAUUUUCCCCAAAAUAGCAUUGUUUUACAAAUCAAUGAACUAGCAAUUCCAUGCAUUCGGUUUGGCCUGGAAUCUGCUAUAGAUGCAGAGGUAGGGCCUCACUCUCUCCAGAGUUACCAGCUCAGUUCUAAUGAACAUUUCUCUCUGAUGAUGGACAACACUAAUGGCAAGAAUGCCCCAGAAGCCCCUGGACCAGGAGCAACAGAGCUCUCAUCUCCUGGUCCUGAAAGCAAUGGACGUGGGUGACCCAGUCCUAAAUGGCACUGCUGCAAUUCAAAUUGAGGUCACUGAUGCCAACAAUAAUGCCCCAGUUUUUAGUCAGGAUGUAUACAAAGUCAGCCUUAGAGAGAAUGUGCCCCCAGGCACCUCUGUACAGCCACUGACCAGGAUGAAGGUGUCAAUGCGGAGAUCACCUACUCUUUCAAAUCCCUGCGAGAUGAUAUUGGAAAUAUGUUUGUGCUAGACCAUCAAAAUGGGGAAAUUAAAUCCAAAGACUUAAUAGACUUCGAAAUUCGUAGCAGUUAUACCAUGAGCAUAGAAGCUAAGGAUGGUGGAAGCAUGACCAGCGAAUGUAAAAUUAUACUAGAAAUCCUAGAUGAGAACGACAAUGCCCCAGACGUGGUUUUUACUUCAGUGUCCAGUUCUGUAACUGAGGAUGCAGAACCCUGGACGGUGAUCACUCUGUUCAAAACACAUGAUAAAGAUUCGAGAGAAAAUGGAGAGGUUACAUGCCUCAUAAACGAAAGAGUUCCUUUUAGUAUCUAAUCUUCCACCAAUAAUUACUAUAAGCUUGUAACAGAUGGGACCCUGGAUUGGGAGUGGAUCCCGGAGUACAACGUCACCAUCACUGCCACUGACAGGGGCAAGCCUCCACUCUCAUCCAGCACAAGCGUCACCCUACGCAUUGGUAAAGUCAACGACAAUGCUCCGGUUUUCCACCAGGUCUCCUACGUGGUCCACGUGGCCGAAAACAACCUUCCCGGAGCCUCCAUGGCAUAAGUCAGCGCCUCUGACCUGGACCUAGGGCUGAAUGGCCAAGUCUCCUAUACCAUCGUUACCAGUGACUUGGAGCUGCGGGCACUGUCGUCCUACGUGUCGGUGAGCGCACAGAGCGGGGUGGUGGUCGCGCAGCCCGCCUUCGACCACGAGCAGCUGUGCGCCUUUGAGCUCACGAUGCAGACCCACGACCAGGGCUCGCCCGCGCUCAGCGCCAACGUGAGCCUGCGCAUGUUGGUGGGCGACCUCAAUGACAAUGUGCCGCAGGUGCUGUACCCCGCGCUGGGGCCCGAUGCCUCCGCACUCUUCGAUAUGGUGCCACGCGCCGCAGAGUCCGGCUACCUGGUGACCAGGGUGGUGGUGGUGGACGCAGAUUCGGGACACAACGCUUGGCUGUCCUACCACGUGCUGCAGGCCAUUGAGCCCAGGCUUUUCAGCCUGGGGCUGCACACGGGCAACCUGCUGGUUGCUGUGCGUGACGGAGGAAAGCCGCCGCUCUGCACCGCUACGCUUCACCUAGUCUUCGCAGACAGCCUGCAGGAGGCACUGCCAGACUUCAGUGA